rnacentral:rRNA from 1 species
AGUGAACGCUGGCGGUAGGCCUAACACAUGCAAGUCGAACGGCAGCACAGUAAGAGCUUGCUCUUACGGGUGGCGAGUGGCGGACGGGUGAGGAAUACAUCGGAAUCUACUUUUUCGUGGGGGAUAACGUAGGGAAACUUACGCUAAUACCGCAUACGACCUACGGGUGAAAGCAGGGGAUCUUCGGACCUUGCGCGAUUGAAUGAGCCGAUGUCGGAUUAGCUAGUUGGCGGGGUAAAGGCCCACCAAGGCGACGAUCCGUAGCUGGUCUGAGAGGAUGAUCAGCCACACUGGAACUGAGACACGGUCCAGACUCCUACGGGAGGCAGCAGUGGGGAAUAUUGGACAAUGGGCGCAAGCCUGAUCCAGCCAUACCGCGUGGGUGAAGAAGGCCUUCGGGUUGUAAAGCCCUUUUGUUGGGAAAGAAAGGCAGCAGGUUAAUACCCCGCUGCUCUGACGGUACCCAAAGAAUAAGCACCGGCUAACUUCGUG